rnacentral:rRNA from 1 species
AUGGCCGUGGUCGUGGCCGCGGGCGGCGGGGACGCCGCGCCCGCGCACCGGAAGCUGGGCGGGUACCUGCGCGUGGUGGUCUCGGUCCCGUCCCCCGACGCCAAAUCCAUCCGCCCGCUCGCCCCCUGCUCCCUCUCCGCCUGCGGGGCCGCGCCGCUCGCGCCGCUCCCCGACGACGCGGCCGGCGCGCGCCCGGGCCUCGCCCCGCGGGGGUCGCUCAGGUGGCGGGCCACCGGCGGCGGGGGCACCAGCGUCGUGCGCCAGCUCAGGGCGCUCGUCGCCGCGCGGUGCGUCGAGGUGGAGGGCAGGGUGCUCCGGGUGGUGGCGAGGGAAGAGGCGGAGGAGGCCAGGGUGGUGGUGCUCGUCGACGUGUACCUCCCCGUCGCCGCCUGGUCCGGGUGGAAGUUCCCGCGCUCGCGCUCCUCCGCCGCCGCCGCCGUGUUCAAGCACCUCAGUUGCAACUGGGAUGCUAGGAAUGCUUUAGUUGCUUUUGACUGGGCUUCUCAUGACAAUCCACAUCCUGAUGACAAGUAUAUUUGGAGCUGCACUGACUGUCAUGUCCUUGGCUGCGAGCUUCAUCAGAUAUCAUCUGUAUCGAAUAACGACAAGUCAUUUGACCUGCAUGAAAUCUUCAAAGUUCUCCCCAGUGUUAGAGUGGAGAAGGGGAUGCAGAUAACAACAAUAAUACCCGAUGUUAUAUCGGAUGAAAUAGGUAUCUGGUCUAUCCCUGAUGAUAUAUUGAAUAAGGUGCUAAUUCGCCUUAAACCCGGGGAUUUGAUAAGAGCGGCAGCUACUUGUCAUCACAUAAGGACUCUUGCUGCCUCUAUUAUGCCUUGCAUGAAGCUUAAGCUUUUUCCUCAUCAAGAGGCGGCUGUCGAAUGGAUGUUGAGGCGAGAGCAAAACCCUGAGCCCUUAGCGCAUCCUCUCUGCAAGAAUUUCUGCACUGAGGAUGGCUUUCCAUUCUUCAUAAAUGUUACCUCUGGUGAAAUAUUCACAGGGACUGCUCCAACCAUAAACGAUUUCUGUGGAGGUAUGUUCUGUGACGAACCUGGAUUAGGGAAGACAGUGACUGCAUUGUCUCUUAUUCUCAAAACGCAUGGAACUUUGGCAGAACCUCCAAGAGGGGUGGAUAUAAAGUGGUGCACUCAUAAACCAGAUAAAAAGUAUGGAUACUAUGAAUUUAACACCAGCAACUGUUCAAACAAUUUCUCUGAAUCAAAAAGGCUCAUGGGGAAGAACGUUGUUCAAGAAGAUCCACGUUCAAGUGAGCUAUCUCAUAAUGGUGACUCUGUUCCCAGUACAAGAUCAUCAAGGAAGAGAGGCAGGUUAGUAGACCCUGGUCUAUCGCCGGUCAACAUGCAUGUUUCAAGUGAGAAGUCGCCAGAAUCAUGCAAUCCACAUCCAACGCCAGCUACCCAAGUACUAAAGGUCACCAAAAACUUGAAAAGUGUCAGGAAAAACCUCAUGGAUGCUUACAGCAAAGAUUCAGUAGGCAGUAAAAGGAAGAGAGGCACCGUGUCCGAGUUAAGUGAGACAUGGGUUCAGUGUGAUGCUUGCAGAAAGUGGCGGAGGUUAUCAGAUGGAACUGUUCUCGAUUCUACUACGGCUUGGUUUUGCAGUAUGAAUGCCGAUCCUGCACGGAUGACAUGCACUGCUUCAGAGGAAUCCUGGGAUUUCAAGACAAAGAUAACCUAUUUGCCAGGAUUUUACAAGAAAGAUGAGUUGCCGGGAAAUGAGCAGAAUGUAUCAUAUUUUGCAAACAUAUUGAAAGAUAAUAUUUCUUUGAUCAACUCUGAAACCAAGAAGGCUUUAUUGUGGUUGGCACAACUUCCUCUCAGGAAACAUCUCGAGAUGGAAUCAGUUGGUUUGACACGUCCAGUUCUAGAUGCACGGGCAACCACAGGCAAGGGUGCCCGCCCAUAUUUCAAGUUAUUUCAAGCAUUCGGCCUUGUGAGGAAGAUUGAGCAAGGUGUAACUCGGUGGUAUUAUCCAUCUAUGCUUGAUGAUUUGGCCUUCGACUCGGCUGCGCUUGGAAUUGCUCUUGAAAAACCGCUGGAUUUAGUGAGGUUAUAUUUAUCUAGGGCGACCUUGAUAGUUGUGCCUGCUAAUUUGAUUGAUCACUGGACAACACAAAUACAACGUCAUGUUUCUUCGGAUACACUUAAUGUUUAUGCAUGGGGAGAUCACAAGAGGCCGCCUGCUCACAUCCUUGCUUGGGACUAUGACAUUGUCAUAACCACAUUUAGCAGAUUAAGCGCAGAAUGGGGACCAAGUAAGAAAAGUGUUUUAAAGCAGAUCCAUUGGUUUAGGGUAAUAUUAGAUGAAGGACACACUUUAGGUUCCAGUCUUGCCCUGACAAACAAAUUGCAGAUGGCUGUUUCUUUGGUUGCUUCAAACAGGUGGAUUUUAACUGGUACGCCUACACCGAACACACCAACUAGUCAGGUUGCUCAUCUUCACCCCAUGCUCAAGUUUCUUCAUGAAGAAGCUUAUGGUGAAAACUACCACUCAUGGGAGUCUGGAAUUCAUAGGCCCUUUGAGGCUCAAAUGGAAGAGGGGCGCAUUCGUCUUGUGGAGCUACUUCGGAGGUCCAUGAUUAGUGCAAGAAAAGCAGAUCUCAAAAACAUCCCUCCUUGCAUAAAAAGAAUAACAUUUGUAGACUUCAGUGAAGGGCAUGCGAAAAGUUACAAUGAACUGGUUGUUACUAUUCGCCGGAAUAUACUGAUGGCUGAUUGGAAUGACCCUUCCCAUGUUGAAUCACUUCUGAAUCCCAAGCAGUGGAAAUUUCGUACUACUACUAUAAGAAAUGUCCGGUUGUCUUGCUGUGUUGCUGGGCAUAUUAAAGUAGCAGAGGCUGGUCAUGAUAUACAAGAAACUAUGGAUGAGUUGAUGCAGGGGGGUCUUGAUCCUUCUUCAGAGGAAUAUCAAUCCAUAAGAUUUGCUCUUUUAAAUGGCACCGAUUGUGUCAGGUGUCGAGAUUGGUGCCGCUUACCUGUUAUAACACCUUGUCGGCAUCUGCUGUGCCAUGAUUGUGUAGCUUUGGAUAGUGAGAAAUGCAUAGAAUGUGGCAACAACUACGAGAUGCAGUCUCCCGAAACUCGUGCACGUCCAGAAAAUCCAAACCCAAAAUGGCCAGUCCCGAAGGAUCUAAUUGAACUGCAGCCUUCAUAUAAGCAGGAUGACUGGGAUCCAGAUUGGCAGUCAACGACUAGCAGCAAAGUUGCUUACUUGAUCGACAAGUUGAGAAGUUUGCGAGAAGCUAACAUGAAACAUGUGCACUCGACUAACAUAACCAUUGGUGCUGGUCCUGCUACUACAUCGUCUUAUCAAGAUGAUAAUAACCUGCAGACCAGGUUACCACAGACAUUGCCUGACAAAGUAAUUAUAUUCUCUCAGUUUCUGGAGCAUAUUCAUGUUAUUGAGCAGCAGCUGACUAUUGCUGGAAUAACAUACGCUGGAAUGUACAGUCCCAUGCCUUUAGGCACUAAGAGAAGCGCAUUGACAAAGUUUAAAGAGGAUCCAACAUGCAUGGCUUUACUGAUGGAUGGCACUGCAGCACUGGGCCUUGAUUUGAGUUUUGUGAAUCAUGUUUUUCUGAUGGAACCCAUAUGGGAUAGGAGUAUGGAGGAACAAGUUAUUAGUCGCGCGCAUAGAAUGGGUGCAACCCGUCCAAUAAAUGUUGAGACCCUGGCUAUGCGCGGUACCAUCGAGGAGCAAAUGCUCCAACUUCUGCAGGACUCUAGCGCUUGCAGAAAUAUGGUUAAUAAAGGUGCAGGCGGCACCGAGAAUGAAGGGGCUCGGCCUCACCGUAGCCUACACGAUUUCGCCGAGAGUAGUUAUCUGGCGAAACUCACCUUCGUGAAAGGAUCUAACACAGCAUGCAUGAAUGCUUACUUGCUUAGUAUAAAUUGA